AGGGAGCUUGCUUCCUCGAUCGAGUGGCGAACGGGUGAGUAACGCGUGAGGAACCUGCCUCAAAGAGGGGGACAACAGUUGGAAACGACUGCUAAUACCGCAUAACACAUAGGUGUCGCAUGGCACUUAUGUCAAAGAUUUAUCGCUGAAAGAUGGCCUCGCGUCUGAUUAGCUAGUUGGUGGGGUAACGGCCUACCAAGGCGACGAUCAGUAGCCGGCCUGAGAGGGUGAACGGCCACAUUGGAACUGAGACACGGUCCAAACUCC
rnacentral:rRNA from 1 species